GCCGGGCAUGGUGGCUCACGCCUGUAAUCCCAGUGGCUCAGGAGGCUGAGGCAGGAGGAUCGAAAGUUCAAGGCCAGCCUCAGCAAAGUGAGACUCUAAGCCAGACUCAGCAAAAAGCAAGACCUUAAGCAACUGAGUGAGACCCUGUCUCUA
rnacentral:sRNA from 1 species